rnacentral:rRNA from 1 species
GAUGAACGCUGGCGGCGUGCCUAAUACAUGCAAGUCGAGCGAACGGACGAGAAGCUUGCUUCUCUGAUGUUAGCGGCGGACGGGUGAGUAACACGUGGAUAACCUACCUAUAAGACUGGGAUAACUUCGGGAAACCGGAGCUAAUACCGGAUAAUAUUUUGAACCGCAUGGUUCAAAAGUGAAAGACGGUCUUGCUGUUACUUAUAGAUGGAUCCGCGCUGCAUUAGCUAGUUGGUAAGGUAACGGCUUACCAAGGCAACGAUGCAUAGCCGACCUGAGAGGGUGAUCGGCCACACUGGAACUGAGACACGGUCCAGACUCCUACGGGAGGCAGCAGUAGGGAAUCUUCCGCAAUGGGCGAAAGCCUGACGGAGCAACGCCGCGUGAGUGAUGAAGGUCUUCGGAUCGUAAAACUCUGUUAUUAGGGAAAAACAUAUGUGUAAGUAACUGUGCACAUCUUGACGGUACCUAAUCAGAAAGCCACGGCUAACUACGUG